rnacentral:rRNA from 1 species
AGAGCGAACGCUGGCGGCAGGCCUAAUACAUGCAAGUCGAACGGAUCCUUCGGGAUUAGUGGCGGACGGGUGAGUAACACGUGGGAACGUGCCCUUUGGUUCGGAACAACUCAGGGAAACUUGAGCUAAUACCGGAUGUGCCCUUCUGGGGAAAGAUUUAUCGCCAUUGGAGCGGCCCGCGUCUGAUUAGCUAGUUGGUGGGGUAAAGGCCCACCAAGGCGACGAUCAGUAGCUGGUCUGAGAGGAUGAUCAGCCACACUGGGACUGAGACACGGCCCAGACUCCUACGGGAGGCAGCAGUAGGGAAUCUGCGCAAUGGGCGAAAGCCUGACGCAGCCAUGCCGCGUGAAUGAUGAAGGUCUUAGGAUUGUAAAAAUUCUUUCAGCGGGACGAUAAUGACGGUACCGCAGAAGAAGCCCGGCUAACUUCGUGCCAGCAGCCG